rnacentral:tRNA from 1 species
GCCGAAGUGGUGGAACUGGUAGACACGCCAUCUUGAGGGGGUGGUGAGGGAAACCUCGUGGGGGUUCGAGUCCCCCCUUCGGCA